rnacentral:misc_RNA from 1 species
UUUCCGUAGGUGAACCUGCGGAAGGAUCAUUAAUGAGUUGUCAUGGGGUUCGAUGCUGGCAGCCAAUUUUUGGAUGCAUGUGCUUGCCCUAACAAUCAUCUUCCAAACACCUGUGCACGUUUUUGAGGGAGUCUUGAGUUGGUUGCCGCUCUUGGGUGAUUUUCUCACAUUCCCUUAAAUCAUUAUACGCUAUUAACAAUGUUGAACGUGCUCUGUGCCGCAAGGCUAUUAAUAUAAUACAACUUUUAACAACGGAUCUCUUGGCUCUCGCAUCUAUGAAGAACGCAGC